rnacentral:tRNA from 2 species
GCGGGUGUGGUGGAAUUGGUAGACGCGCUGGACUCAAAAUCCAGUUCCGAAAGGAGUGCCGGUUCGAUCCCGGCCACCCGCA